rnacentral:lncRNA from 1 species
CUCCGGCUAUUUCUGUUCCGCGUUGCAUGUAGAAUUGCGCUGUUCGGCAAUUUUACGUCAGCGAUGAGUGAGCUAUGUUAAUAGUCAAAAUUUGGGGACUCUGGUCAAAGGUGCAGAUUUUACCAGUUCCAUAAGGUGAAUUGAAGCACUCUGGCAGUGCAACGACGUCGGCGCCUUGUUGUUUUGCUCGUUCGACAAAAGAGAUUGCUCGAGAGAUGUUUGUCGCUUUAUCGUCAGUUACGGCAAGUUGUACCAGGGCCAAUCGAAGACCUUUAAUAAGAUAUGUAUUAGAUAUAUUGACAUUAUCGAUCGCCAAAAGUACAAAAUUGUUUCCAUGAAAUUGGCAAAAAUCAUCGUACGUACUUGCCAUUGCUUUACUUGACUGUCGAGCGAUAUUGCUCAAUGCCAUGGCCAUGCAGAUACUAACUGAUAGGUUAGGUCCGAUUGGCUAUAUUAUGUGCUACAACCGAAUGAUGCGACUUAUGCUAACUACUUGUAGCUACUGAUAAGAAAGAGAUGUGUGUGAAGCAGCAUUGAAAGACGAGGAAUCCAAUUUUAGGAAUACACAUCGAUGUAUUAUAGUAUUCUAGAUAUAUUUCAAAGAACUCAUGGAAGGAAAGAAGUUUGCAGCUAGAUAUGUAGUAGAAUUUAAAUGCAGUUAACAUCAACUUUCUCACGUUAUUUGAGGUUGAAGGAACCAAGAUGUUGCCAAAACUGAAAUAUCAAAUAUAACAAUUAUCAGAAUGGCACUGUUGUAUUUAUUCGUUCUUUCUAACUUGAAAAGCCAAUAAAAAUAUGUGUAUUGUAUUGAUGAUAAGGUACAAUGUAUAACCAGUCAUUUUGGUAGAGAUGCAUUUCUAUAAGGUACACCAUCCAAAGUUAUGGAAUGUAUUUGAAGCAUAAGUUCAAAAAGAAAGACAAGAAAAUGUUUGGUUUCAUCGAGUACUUCCUCACCAGCAUAUCCAGCCUUUUGUAAUGAUCAGUUCGACAAUGAAUAUUAUUGUUUAUGCGAAUGGUUGUGGGUUGUGGAUUCGAAAGCUGCUCGUUUGGCCUAUCCAAAGCGUCUAAAUAAUAUUUUUCUCACCCCGCUGUUAUUCUAUUUUCAUUGUUAGUGGUUAUCUCGUCGGUUUCAUUAUGUUGGAAGGCACAGUAUAGUCGCAAACUUAUAUUUUGACUUCAUUAUAGUCAAGGUAGAAUCUUAAAAAAUGUAACAAUUUUUCUUAAUGAAGAGUAUGUACUGUGAUACUUAUGUACAAGUCUGCAAAAGUAUCAAGUAUAAAGCUCAAGUCAAGUCCACUGUCAAGUAUAGGAUACAGCGGCGAUUCCUAAAUUAAAAAUGAACAAAUUUUAUUAAGAAAAGUUUAUGAUACAAUUGUUCGUCCAGGGUAGUCAUAAAAUAAAAUUA